CGGCCUCAGGUUAACUUCAAGCAUGUUGGGCUCUCCAGGAGGGAGAAGAGGCACCUUUGCCGUGGGUUGAGGACUCCUAGAACCAACCUGAGACUCCGCGGCCAUAUACACCUUACGACGUGUGUGUGUGUGGCGGGAGAUGGGAGGGGAGGAAUCCUGUAGAACCCAGAUCCCAUCAUUCCAGCAACUGCCAGAGCGUUCGAGAAUGUCAUGUCUGUACCUGUCUUCUCUCAUCUUUUGUGCCAACUGUUUUAUCAAACUUCUACCCCACUUUAGGUCUUCCAGAGUACAACACAAAUAUACUGCCCAGGUUCUAAAACAUGUAUAAGAGUUAACAAAAUCAGCUGAGGUUGAGCAGAAAUUGUAUAGGAAAAAAUAGGAAAAACACAGAGACCAAUCUCAGCUGCAAGAAGGUUCAGCUAGACACUGCAAGCAAAAGUAUAACUCCUGAAGGUCACUUUGAGAAGAUGAGGUAUCAACAGCCACUACUAUUAGGCAAGGUACAAGUAUCACAACACUAGUGCCAUCUGAGAAUCCAUGUCAACCCUUAGCUAAGGAAGUAGCUCCCAACCUGGAGAUCUCUGGGUCCUUGAGGACUCUUAAAGUAGUUAUGGAGCUCAUUGAACUAUUUUCAACAUUUCAAAAAGAUAUCACGUAGCAAUUGUACAUCCAUCCUUAAUAAAACUGCACAAGCAAACUGAAA
rnacentral:lncRNA from 1 species